AGGCCGACCAUUGGAGAGCCUGCGCACCAAGACAGCCGGCUCCCCCCCCCACUCGCAGGCCGGUGGGAGGGGGCAGUUUGGGUCAACACCACCUGGGCUGCAGUGUCCCUGGCCCAGUGGAGCGAAGGGGGGUGUCCCAUCAACCGGUACAGUGUUGUCUACAGACAAACCAGUGCUGUUACCUGGAUUGUGGUAUCCAAGAGGGUGGAGGGGGGGCCGGCCAGUGUGAUAGGGGGCCUCACACCCUCUGCCCAUUACCUGGUGCAGGUGACUGCUUACAACUCUGCUAGGAGCUACUCCAGGGCUACUCCACCACCAUGCCCCUUCCUGGAGGCCCCUCCUCCCCUGGGUUAGUGAUGCCUGGGGUGGCCAUGACAGAUGUGAGGGUUCUGCUGCCCGUGGUUGCCUCCUCCCUGUCUGCUGGCCACUCUUGUCACCCGUUUGUGUUUGUGUCAGGAGGAAGUACGCAGACAACAUCUAUACAGCCUUCCAAAUGAACAACACACACCAACAACAUCAUCAACAACCAAAACAACAACAACCAUCACAGCAACAACCAGUCACAGCCACCACAACCACCACCAUCACCACCACCACCCACACCACCAACAGCAGCAAUAACCACAGCAGCAACCACAGCCCAAAAACAGCAACAACAACAACAACAAAAAUUAGGCCAGACACAGUGACCUUGCUUACAACAACAACUACAAUAACAAUAACAACAACAACAACCCCACCACAAUGCUUCCCACAGCCACUACCAGCCAUGUGCUUAUUAUUAUAGCAAAGUAUUAAUAUCACUUGCAAAUAU